AGCUUGCUGUUUCGCUGACGAGUGGCGGACGGGUAAGUAAUGUCUGGGAAACUGCCUGAUGGAGGGGGAUAACUACUGGAAACGGUAGCUAAUACCGCAUAACGUCGCAAGACCAAAGAGGGGGACCCUCGGGCCUCUUGCCAUCGGAUGUGCCCAGAUGGGAUUAGCUUGUUGGUGGGGUAACGGCUCACCAAGGCGACGAUCCCUAGCUGGUCUGAGAGGAUGACCAGCCACACUGGAACUGAGACACGGUCC
rnacentral:rRNA from 1 species